GACGAACGCUGGCGGCGUGCUUAACACAUGCAAGUCGAACGGAAAGGCCCUGCUUUUGUGGGGUGCUCGAGUUGCGAACUGGUGAGUAACACUUGAGUAACCUGCCCCUGACUGUGGGAUAACUUCAGGAAACUGGGGCUAAUACCGGAUAGGAGCUCCUGCUGCUUGGUGGGGGUUGGAAAGUUUCGGCGGUUGGGGAUGGACUCGCGGCUUAUCAGCUUGUUGGUGGGGUAGUGGCUUACCAAGGCUUUGACGGGUAGCCGGCCUGAGAGGGUGACCGGCCACAUUGGGACUGAGAUACGGCCCAGACUCCUACGGGAGGCAGCAGUGGGGAAUAUUGCACAAUGGGCGGAAGCCUGAUGCAGUCACGCCGCGUGCGGGAUGACGGCCUUCGGGUUGUAAACCGCUUUCGCCUGUGACGAAGCGUGAGUGACGGUAAUGGGUAAAGAAGCACCGGCUAACUCCGUG
rnacentral:rRNA from 1 species